rnacentral:lncRNA from 1 species
GUGGGGCGACCCCAGCCUACUCAGUCCGCGGAGGCCCCGCGGCGCACGUCCGCAGCCUCCAUCACAGCGCGGGCGCGCAGACGGGGCUGGCAUCUACCAUAUGGGGGGCAUCCGGGCCGAACCAAGUGACCCGCGUGGGGGGUCCCGCUGGGGACUCCGUGCCGCACCCUCCCAAGCCGGCCCCAGGGGCCCAGGGCUGGUGUCGCACGUUCGCUGGCCGCGCUCCCAGGGCCCGGGUUUGAAGGCGCUGGGCAGGCAGGGGCAGCCCCGCCCCCUGAGAAGGAUGGGAGCUGCUCUCCGCGGGCUGAGCCUGUCAGCAUCCUCGACGCACCCUGGUCCCUGAAGUCGGAGAAGAGCCCCUACCCACCCACACCCCCUUGCCCCAUUUUGGGUCGCCUGGGUCCUCAGUCCUAGCGGAUCCUCAGUCCUAGCGGCCACCGGGUCUGAAAGGAGCAAGACGAUGAUCCUGGCGUCGGUGCUGAGGAGCGGUCCCGGGGGCGGGCUUCCGCUCCGGCCCCUCCUGGGACCCGCACUCGCGCUCCGGGCCCGCUCGACGUCGGCCACCGACACACACCACGUGGAGAUGGCUCGGGAGCGCUCCAAGACCGUCACCUCCUUUUACAACCAGUCGGCCAUCGAC